UAAAAGGCUCCUCCCCACGCCUAUAAAUAGAGGAGGUAGGGUUUGGCCGCAGCAACGGAGUUCGGUUGCUUGCCGCAUCCUUCUCGUUCCAUACGCCCCUCAUCUGCGGAGUUCUUAGCGAAGCUCUGUCGGAUUUCCGCCAUACUUCCACUACCACAUCGUCGUGCUGCCAAGAUCGAUCUCAUCCACCUCUCCCCCUUGCUUUAUGUAUCAAGCCGCACGUGUGUUCAAUUCGAAGGCAUCGUUCGUGCGGUGCUACAUCGGAUUGAUCCGAUAAAAGUACGACCGCAUCACCCACGAUCAUUAGAUUGUUAAACGUGUGUGUUCUACAAGGAUAUGUGGCAGCAUACGCAAAGAGAAUCUAGAUGGGUGUACAUGAGACGACGAUUUUUUCAUGUCCAGGCCCUCGAGAUGAAAUUCAUGCCAUUAAGAUGAGGAAAUCGUGGGAGGAGUGGUGCCGCUUAUGAAGAAGAGGAAUACAAACAAGGCAGUAGCUUCAACGUAUGUCGUUCAACGGCCUCCUCCUCCAAUGGUGAGAGAGUACAUGGUGGAUGGUAGGUAUUCUUAGUCCUUGGAUCAAGGUAUUCACAAAGAGCAAGUUGUUCCAGGUAGACACCAUCAAGAAUUAUGCUGAAAAAUCACAUAGAAUUAUCAGACGUAGAAGGACACUCCAUAAGUUAGGUUUAAAUGGGGUGGUUGCGAACCAACCUGUAUUUGGAUGGUUAGGAGGACAGUGGUAUCCCAGUCCACCAGAGUUCAAGUCCUACACUUACUGGUGCUCGUGUUUUUCUAUAUUUAUUUCAGGCCUUCCGCCGAUGUGCGUUCAGUGGGAGGAGAUGUUUUCGUCGACUAUGAAAGCGUCUGUGGCUACUUCGCCAACCUCAAGAUGAUGUGUCGGCUCUGUCUUUCGGAGGUGCUCAUAAGAAUGAGUGUAUGCGCGUAUAUAUGAGCGUCUGUUUCUAUACCGUGUUAAAAAAUAGGAUUAUGUUGAAAUUCUGCGUAGAAAUGGAAGAUAUUUUAGUAGGCAAAUUUAUGCUUCAAGACAUACUUGUGUAGUGAACUGGAAUCAGCAUCGUCGUAUGGCAUCAGCAUCGUCAUAUGGCAUCGCCUUGCAGAACACAUGUUGCAAACUCAAACUUCUUUGCAAAAGAAAGGGUGUACGUUUUGGCACGAAUCAAUAUGUAUGUUGUGGCUGAAACCACAAUUUGCAUGAUAGACAAAAAUAUAUUUAUGUGUCGAUGUUGUUUUUUCAUCUGAUCUUGUAGUCUUUUUCUUUGUGUAGCACACAAAUC
rnacentral:rRNA from 1 species